rnacentral:rRNA from 1 species
GAUGAACGCUGGCGGCGUGCCUAAUACAUGCAAGUCGAGCGGACAGACGAGGAGCUUGCUCCUCUGACGUUAGCGGCGGACGGGUGAGUAACACGUGGAUAACCUACCUAUAAGACUGGGAUAACUUCGGGAAACCGGAGCUAAUACCGGAUAAUAUAUUGAACCGCAUGGUUCAAUAGUGAAAGACGGUUUUGCUGUCACUUAUAGAUGGAUCCGCGCCGCAUUAGCUAGUUGGUAAGGUAACGGCUUACCAAGGCAACGAUGCGUAGCCGAUCUGAGAGGGUGAUCGGCCACACUGGAACUGAGACACGGUCCAGACUCCUACGGGAGGCAGCAGUAGGGAAUCUUCCGCAAUGGGCGAAAGCCUGACGGAGCAACGCCGCGUGAGUGAUGAAGGUCUUCGGAUCGUAAAACUCUGUUAUUAGGGAAGAACAAAUGUGUAAGUAACUAUGCACGUCUUGACGGUACCUAAUCAGAAAGCCACGGCUAACUACGUG